CGUGGCCUCACACACUCUUUUCACUGUGGGUCCCGAGUGGGACAGUCUUCAGUCAGGAUGGGGCCUGGCUUCUGACCCAACAAGAGUCCCUCACUGGGGUUAACUUUCCUUCUAAACCAGCCCACAAGUUCAAGGACUCGUGGGAAACGGAAGUGAGAGAGGAGAGAACCCAUUAAUUUCCAAAGGCUUACCAUGUGCUAGGCCUGGUACUGGAUAGUUUGCUUAAAUCUUUGUGAAUCUGCCCACCGGUCUUCAACUGAGUCUUAACUGUUGCCGUUUCAUAGGUGAGAAAACCAAGGCUCAGAGAGGAUGGGGUUAGAAUAACAGGCCAAGAAGUCAGGGUGAGAGAAAUAGAAGGGAAGGAGUAUCAGCAACCUGGGAGAAUCUCUCCCAGGCAUCAAGAGUCGAAGGUUGCUCUUUUUUUUUUUUAAUGUUUAUUUUUGAAAGGGAGAGAGAGUGCGAGAGAGCGUGCGUGUGUGUGCACAAGAGCAGGGGAGGGGCAGAGAGAGGGGGACAGAGCAUCUGUGCUGUCAGCACAGAGCCUGAUGUGGGGCUCAGACUCACAGACCUCGAGAUCAUGACCUGAGCUGAAGUUGGACGCUCGACCGACAGAGCCACUCAGACGUGCUGAAGGUUGUUGUUUAAAACCUAGGUACUUGAAUGAAUUCUUUGCUUCGCUCUCUGGCCAUUCCUGUGUCAUCUUCCUUUACACAGCUGACAUCAUACUAUGUAAUGUUGUAUCUGGUUAUUUUGGCUUCAUGUACAUUGUAAACAUUUCCCCAGGUUUUAAAAGUUUGUGUAGACAUAGUGUUUUAUAGCCAUAUAAUAUUUUAUAUGUACCUUGAGUCACACGACCAUUGCACGUGUAUAUUGUUUCCGUUUUUUGCUCUUACAAAAAUACUGUACGUUGACUGGUUAAAGAAAUUAUAGUAUAUUCAGUCAGUGGGAUGUUAUGCAGCCAUUAAAAAUGGUGUUGUAGGGGCACCUGGGUGGCUCAGUCGGUUAAGCGUCUGAGCUCAGCUCAGAUCAUGAUCUCACAGUUUGUGAGUUCGAGCCCCACAUUAGGUUCUGUGCUGACAGCUCAGAGCCUGGAGCCUGCUUCAGAUUCCGAGUCUCCCUCUCUCUGCCCCUCCCCUACUCAUGCUCUGUCUCUACCUCUCAGAAAUGAAUAAACAUUAAAAAAAUUUUUUUUUAAAUGGUGUUGUAAAUCUUUAUCAGUUGACAUGAAGAUAGGUUCAUAAUAUCUUACUAAGAAAAAGCAGUUUACAGGGGCGCCUGGGUGGCUCAGUUGGCUGAGUGUCCGACUUCGGCUCAGGUCAUGAUCUCAUGGUCCGUGAGUUCAAGUCCUGUGUCGGGCUCUGUGCUGACAGCUCAGAGCCUGGAGCCUGCUUCGGAUUCUGUGUCUCCCUCUCUGACCCUCCCCCAGUCAUGCUCUGUCUCUCUCUGUCUCAAAACUAAAUAAACAUUUAAAAAAAUUUUUUAAUAAAUUAAAAAAAAAGAAAAAAGAAAAAGGAGUUUACAAAACAGUAUGUAUUGUAAGAUCACAUUUUUUAAGAUUUUGUUUUUAAGUAAUCUCUAUAUCCAACGUGAGGCUCGAACUUACAACCCUGAGAUCAAGAGUCACCUACUAUCCCAACUAAGCCAGCCAGGCACCCCUAAUAUACAUUUUUUUGGCAUACAUCUAUGUAUAUGAAAGAUUAUUCACCGAAAUGUUAAUAGAAGUUAUUUCUGGUGGUGGGAUUGUGGGAUUCUUUGUAUUUUUAUUAGCAUUUUACAGUGAAAACAUAUUGCUUUUUUUAAAUCUUUCCUUAAAAAUGUUUUUAAUUGAUUAUUUUGAGAGAGAGAGAAAGAGAGAGAGAGA